rfam:Bacillus gaemokensis strain JCM 15801 contig9, whole genome shotgun sequence.
CGAAAAGUAAUGAUAAGGACAUGAGAUGAUUUUUACGGUUUACAGAGAGGGAGGCCAUAGGCUGUGAGCUUCCUAACACGGGAAAUCAUUUUACCACCUUUGAACUUCAAUAGUGAAAGAGUAAUCUAGUAAUUAUUGACGGACUCAGCCGUUAUCUGAUCUUGAGCAGUCCAGGUGAAUAUAUAUUUGGAUUGAAACAAGGGUGGAACCACGAAAACACAUUCGUCCCUUUA